CAGACUAAACAUCCACAGGCCCACUAGAGGACAGACUAAACAUCCACAGGCCCACUAGAGGACAGACUAAUCAUCCACAGGUCCACUAGAGGACAGACUAAUCAUCCACAGGUCCACUAGAGGACAGACUAAACAUCCACAGGACCACUAGAGGACAGACUAAUCAUCCACAGGCCCACUAGAGGACAGACUAAUCAUCCACAGGCCCACUAGAGGACAGACUAAUCAUCCACAGGCCCACUAGAGGACAGACUAAUCAUCCACAGGCCCACUAGAGGACAGACUAAUCAUCCACAGGCCCACUAGAGGACAGACUAAUCAUCCACAGGCCCACUAGAGGACA